AAAAAAGAGAAAGCAGGUAGAGGAUGUAAACAUUAACAAGAAUAAAAACAGAGAAAAGACAGACUGUAGACAGACAUGAGACGAGAGAGGUAAAGAUUAUGUAAACAUUAACAAUGUAAGAAAGCCUUCCAGAGAGAAGAGUAGAGAAAGAGAGAAAGAUUGUGUUGCAAAGGUCGCCAGAGUGGUAAAAACGAUGCCAGUGAGAGGGUGGCCUUGGAAAACUAAGAGUGCAAACAGGACAGCGAAUCAAAACCCAUAAUACUCCCACUCCGCUGCAGUGUCUGACCAAUCAGCAAGCGAAAUGUCAGUAAGGUCACAGCACCAAAGGGAGAAACACACACGAACACCAACCGCAUGCGAAGCAUUCCUGCAAACCAACUCAAACAUGAGCUCUCGGGGGUGAGCUGUGUUUGGAUGUCCACUCUGCAGAUGGGACACUUCCUACUGGUGGCCAGCCACUGAUCCACACACGCCUGAUGGAACAAAUGCAUACAGGAACUCACCAAUCAGUGCCUUCUGCCAGGUAUCUGGGCUGCUGUGGGAUUGGCUGAGGGACAUGGAGGGGCGGAGCA